rnacentral:rRNA from 1 species
CCGGCGCACGGGUGCGUAACGCGUAUGCAAUCUACCUUUUACAGCGGGAUAGCCCAGAGAAAUUUGGAUUAAUACCACAUAGUAUUAUAGGAUGGCAUCAUUUUAUAAUUAAAGUCACAACGGUAAAAGAUGAGCAUGCGUCCCAUUAGCUAGUUGGUAAGGUAACGGCUUACCAAGGCAACGAUGGGUAGGGGUCCUGAGAGGGAGAUCCCCCACACUGGUACUGAGAC